rnacentral:rRNA from 1 species
CAGUCGCCGCGGGAAUACGAAGGGUGCAAGCGUUAAUCGGAAUUACUGGGCGUAAAGCGUGCGUAGGCGGUUUGUUAAGUCUGCUGUGAAAUCCCCGGGCUCAACCUGGGAAUGGCAGUGGAUACUGGCAAGCUAGAGUGUGUCAGAGGAUGGUGGAAUUCCCGGUGGAGCGGUGAAAUGCGUUGAGAUCGGAAAGAACACCAACGGCGAAAGCACUCUGCUGGGCCGACACUGACACUGAGAGACGAAAGCUAGGGGAGCAAAUGGGAUUAGAUACCCGAGUAGUCCCUGUCUCUUAUAC